GACCUAAUAGCGAAGUCGGUAUCGCAUCCACUAUUGCCGGGAUUUCUGCUCCCCAAUGGGUUUCUAUAGAAGUCCCUCGUUUGAACCGAGGUUAGGUCC